CUACGGCACAUAACCACCUGUUAACGCGCCCGAUCUCGUCUGAAAUCUCGGAAAGCUAAGCAGGUCGGGCUGGUUAGUACUUGGUAUGGAGACCGCACCUGGGAUACCGGAGUGCUGUAGC
rnacentral:rRNA from 1 species